GAUUCACUAGUGAUGGAUCNCAGCCCUAACACAUGCAAGUCGCACGGUCAGCAAUGGCAGUGNCGACGGGGUGAGUAACGCGUAGNAAUCUAUCNCAGGGUGGGGGACAACAGCGGGAAACUGCUGCUAAUACCGCAUGAUACCUGAGGGUCAAAGGCGCAAGUCGCCUUGGGAGGAGCCUGCGUCUGAUUAGCUUGUUGGUGAGGUAAAGGCUCACCAAGGCUACGAUCAGUAGCUGGUCUGAGAGGAUGAUCAGCCACAUUGGGACUGAGACACGGCCCAAACUCCUACGGGAGGCAGCAGUGGGGAAUAUUGGACAAUGGGCGAAAGCCUGAUCCAGCAAUGCCGCGUGUGUGAAGAAGGUCUUCGGAUUGUAAAGCACUUUUGGCAGGGACGAUGAUGACGGUACCUGCAGAAUAAGCCCCGGCUAACUUCGUG
rnacentral:rRNA from 1 species